GACGAACGCUGGCGGCGUGCUUAACACAUGCAAGUCGAACGGAAAGGCCCUGCUUUUGUGGGGUGCUCGAGUGGCGAACGGGUGAGUAACACGUGAGUAACCUGCCCUUUACUUUGGGAUAACUUCAGGAAACUGGGGCUAAUACCGGAUAUGAGCUCCUGCUGCAUGGUGGUGGUUGGAAAGUUUCGGCGGUUGGGGAUGGACUCGAGGCUUAUCAGCUUGUUGGUGGGGUAGUGGCUUACCAAGGCUUUGACGGGUAGCCGGCCUGAGAGGGUGACCGGCCACAUUGGGACUGAGAUACGGGCCAGACUGAUACGGGAGGCAGCAGUGGGGAAUAUUGCACAAUGGGCGGAAGCAUGAUGCAGCAACGCCGCGUGCGGGAUGACGGCCUUCGGGUUGUAAACCGCUUUCGCCUGUGACGAAGCGUGAGUGACGGUAAUGGGUAAAGAAGCACCGGCUAACUACGUG
rnacentral:rRNA from 1 species